rnacentral:rRNA from 1 species
GGGACACGUGGUAUCCUGUCUGAAUAUGGGGGGACCAUCCUCCAAGGCUAAAUACUCCUGACUGACCGAUAGUGAACCAGUACCGUGAGGGAAAGGCGAAAAGAACCCCGGCGAGGGGAGUGAAAAAGAACCUGAAACCGUGUACGUACAAGCAGUGGGAGCACGCUUAGGCGUGUGACUGCGUACCUUUUGUAUAAUGGGUCAGCGACUUAUAUUCUGUAGCAAGGUUAACCGAAUAGGGGAGCCGAAGGGAAACCGAGUCUUAACUGGGCGUUAAGUUGCAGGGUAUAGACCCGAAACCCGGUGAUCUAGCCAUGGGCAGGUUGAAGGUUGGGUAACACUAACUGGAGGACCGAACCGACUAAUGUUGAAAAAUUAGCGGAUGACUUGUGGCUGGGGGUGAAAGGCCAAUCAAACCGGGAGAUAGCUGGUUCUCCCCGAAAGCUAUUUAGGUAGCGCCUCGUGAAUUCAUCUCCGGGGGUAGAGCACUGUUUCGGCAAGGGGGUCAUCCCGACUUACCAACCCGAUGCAAACUGCGAAUACCGGAGAAUGUUAUCACGGGAGACACACGGCGGGUGCUAACGUCCGUCGUGAAGAGGGAAACAACCCAGACCGCCAGCUAAGGUCCCAAAGUCAUGGUUAAGUGGGAAACGAUGUGGGAAGGCCCAGACAGCCAGGAUGUUGGCUUAGAAGCAGCCAUCAUUUAAAGAAAGCGUAAUAGCUCACUGGUCGAGUCGGCCUGCGC